rnacentral:rRNA from 1 species
UACGUAGGUGGCGAGCGUUGUUCGGAAUUACUGGGCGUAAAGAGUGUGUAGGCGGUGCUCUAAGUUCGGUGUGAAAUCUCCCGGCUCAACUGGGAGGGUGCGCCGGAAACUGGAGUGCUGGAGCGCGGGAGAGGAAAGCGGAAUUCCUGGUGUAGCGGUGAAAUGCGUAGAUAUCAGGAGGAACACCAGUGGCGAAGGCGGUGCUCUGGGCCGGUACUGACGCUGAGGAGCGAAAGCGUGGGUAGCAAACAGG